UACAGAGGUCCCAAGCGUUGUUCGGAUUCACUGGGCGUAAAGCGCACGUAGGCGGAUUGCUAAGUCAGGGGUGAAAUCCUGGAGCUCAACUCCAGAACUGCCUUUGAUACUGGCAACCUUGAGUCCGGGAGAGGUGAGUGGAACUGCGAGUGUAGAGGUGAAAUUCGUAGAUAUUCGCAAGAACACCAGUGGCGAAGGCGGCUCACUGGCCCGGUACUGACGCUGAGGCGCGAAAGCGUGGGUAGCAAACGGG
rnacentral:rRNA from 1 species